rnacentral:rRNA from 1 species
UACGUAGGGACCAAGCGUUGUUCGGAUUUACUGGGCGUAAAGGGCGCGUAGGCGGCGCGGUAAGUCACUUGUGAAAUCUCUGAGCUUAACUCAGAACGGCCAAGUGAUACUGCAGUGCUAGAGUGCAGAAAGGGCCAUCGGAAUUCUUGGUGUAGCGGUGAAAUGCGUAGAUAUCAAGAGGAACACCUGAGGCGAAGGCGGGUUGCUAGGCUGACACUGACGCUGAGUGCGCGAAAGCCAGGGGAGCAAACGGG